UACGUAGGCAGCAAGCGUUGUUCGGAGUUACUGGGCGUAAAGAGUGCGUAGGCGGUCCUUUAAGUUUGGUGUGAAAUCUCCCGGCUCAACUGGGAGGGUGCGCCGAAAACUGGAGGGCUUGAGUGUGGGAGAGGCAAGCGGAAUUCCUGGUGUAGCGGUGAAAUGCGCAGAUAUCAGGAGGAACACCAAUGGCGAAGGCAGCUCGCUGGGACGGUACUGACGCUGAGACGCGAAAGCGUGGGGAGCAAACAGG
rnacentral:rRNA from 1 species